AGCCCGGCGUGGCAGAGGCUGAGCCGGUCUGAGGGAGGGGAGGGGAGUAGCCGCCGGGCGGACGCAGGGGGUGGCUGCUAGCCCGAGUCCGUGUGCGGAGGAUGGAGGGGGCCGCCCCUCAGCCUGACGGGGCUCGAUUUGUGCUGUCUCCUACACCCCCUGGGGGAGGGGAGAGGCGGGCCCGCUUCCUCCCCCCGGCGGCUGCGCCCAGCCCAUUAACCCUUUACACCCAGGCCGGGUAGGGCUCUGCCCUUCAGAGAGGUCGCAGGCCUGUGACGUGGGAGGUCUCGCGUCUCCCCAGCAUCCUUCAAGUCAGCGAGCCGCCGUUUACGUCCGUUAGCUUCCACCGGCAGCCAAGAGAACCUUUCGGUGAGGAAGUUCCAUCCCUUCCCCCUCACGGUCCCCCUUUCUGGGGCCUGACUGGAAUUUGGAACAUUCCGUUUUGCUGCAAUCAAGCCGGCUGCCCUGCACAGGAGGGAAGACAGAGAUGCUGUAGUAAAUGAAGCUGUAAGGAGUGUGGGGACUGGACUUUGGAGAGAUGGAACAAGUGGAGUAGUCUUCAUGCUCCUAGCAAGUUACUGUACUGUUGGGCAAAGUUUGGACACCCUGCUCUAAAGUCACAGCUCAGAAGUUAUUAAUGUCUUAAAAACCGGGUUUACAACCAGAAUGUUGACACAGACAGAAUCUUAAUACAGCUCUGCUAGCAAUCUUUAUGGAGGCAAAGUAAAACAAACAACUGAAGUGGUCAGAUUUGUGAGCAAUGCUGUAUACCUGCACUAUUGAGAAAAGUGUGAGCUAUUCCGUCAUUAAAAGACACAAGAAUCCUGAACCUAUCAGUCUCAUAAUUAUCUCCAAGCUGUUGAAGAAUGGGGAUAACAGGAGCUAUCUAUCUUGAAAAGCAUGGACAUUCGCAAAUGACAGAAGCCAUAUAAACAUGUGGUCUCUAGUCCCAAGAACCAUUGAGGAAUCAAGCUUGUAGUUGCAGGAUGUUCAGAUUAGGAUGGAGCACUUGACCCGCAUUCUGAGACAACAGUCAAGGUUUGUUCAGGAGCUGCCACAGAGGGCAAGAGGUGAGUUUGAUGAGAUUGAUGUGCAAGCACUGUUCCUGUUGUGACCAUUUGCCUUGGACUGUGUGAGGACCCAAAUGUGCUUCCCAUCCCAAAAGGGAAACAUUCAACAUUACUAUCACUGUAGGGGAUUCUGGCUGAACAGGAUUCCUGCACAAACUUUGGAUGGAUUCAGCCACCAGAUGAGUGACUUCAGGACCUGAUUGGGUACAGAUACUCACUUGUUAAUACAGUUUGUUGGGUAUACAAACAGUCCUGAGCCACCCCUGAAGAUACAAACGGGUGCUUUGUGUUACAAAAACGCAAGCUGCCAUACAUAACACAGUUGCAGACAUGUCCUUGCUGGAACUUGAGGGAUGAGCUGCACUCUUUGUAUAUGGUUCUUCAGAGCAAGGAACCUGUCACGAGGGAGAUAAACUCUUCACAUUAUCGAAUCCAGAAGUGCUCCUAUAAAGAGAAUUCAUUGUGCAGAGGUCAAGAUAGAUUUCUUGAGAUUUAUUUGCAGGCCUAGCCUUCAGAAUAGUGAAGUUGUUGUUUGGACGGCAAACCUAACUCCUGAUAUGACCACCCUUGAGGAGCCAGUUGUCAAGGCAGGGAAAGACAGUUAUCCCUAUAUGACUGAGAUAGGCAGCUACGACAACCAUGAUUUUUAAGAACACCCUUGGGGCGGAUAACAGGCCAAAAAGUGUAAAACCUGGUAAUGAUUGUGAUUGAAAGUGAAACAAAGAAAUCUUUCGUGAGAAGGAUGAAUCAUUACGUGGAAGUAGGCAUCUUUGAGGUUGUGGCUCGCAAACCAGUCCCCUAAUUCCAAGGAGGGAAUUAUAGCUGCUAGGGAUACCAUCCUGAAUUUCAGAUGUCUGACAUGUUUGUUCCAUUGUCUGAGAUGUAGUAUCUGCCUCCAACCUAUUCUUCUUUGGUAUCAGAAAAUAUCUUGAAUAGAACCCUUUUCCCCUGUGUCGAAGUGGGACUGACUCUAUGGUUCCUAGACUUAGGAGGGAUGAGAUCUCCUGUGUCAGCAAUUGCUUGUGAGAGGAGCCCCUGAAGAGGGAAGGGGAAAGGGGUUGGAAGGGUGGGGUGGAGGUAAAUUUGAUAGUACAGCCAAAGUAAUGGCCUCCAAUACCCAUUUGUCCAAUGUUAUAGUCUCCCGUACUUGAUGAAAGAGAGAGGUGGUGUUCAAAUUGAGGAAGAAGGGUUGUGUCCAGCAGUUGAUAAAACCUGGUCAUUGGAUGGUCUGGACUCUUUACCAAACAAUCAAAAAUGGUGUUUGGAUGAUGCUGAAGGCUGGGGUGAAGCAGUCGAGGUAGUUGCAGACUUUCUUUGAACACCUGAACCUCUUGGUCAGUGGUUUUGGUGGCCUACGGAAGGCAGAAAAUUGAGCAGGGUGGGAUCUUUGUGUUGACUGAGACCUGCUAAACUUCCUUAUUUUUUGCAGGAGUGUAUAUCCCUAAAAACUUAAGUUUUGUCCUAGAGUGUUUUAGGGUAUGAAGCGAGUUAUCUGUGGAAUCCGCGAAAAGCCUCUGGCCUUUGAAAGGUAAAUCUUCCACAAUCGAUUGUACCUCCCGCAGAAACCUGGGACAACUGAAGCCAGGAAGUUUGCCUCAUUGAUACUGUGGUGGAAACAGACCUCGCUGUCUUGUUCGUCACAUUGAGUGAAGCUUGCAGUGAAGUUUUUGCUAAAAGCUGACCCUCUUUUAUCAUGGAGCUGAACUGUUCAUGAUGUUCCUGUGGUAAAUGGUCAGUAAAAGCAUUAAAUUUCUCUUAAUUCAGGUAGUCGUAUUCUUACAUCAGCACCUGGUGGUGAGUUAUCCUGAACUGAAGUGUUGUUGAUGAAUAGCUCUUAUGACCUUUCUAGUCCUUAUUAUAAAGGGGUGGCUUUUUGGAUAUGCUGCCUACCCCUUUCAUUGGCUACAUCCAUGAACAGAGAGUUUGGUGUAGGAUGAGAAAAUAAAAAUUCAGAAUCCCUGGG